ACUGGUUGAUCCUGCCAGUGAUCAUAUUCUUCGAUCAAAGAUUAAGCCAUGCACGUGUAAGAGUAAAUAGUUACCUGUGAAUCUGCGUAUGGCUCAUUACAAGAAUUAUUACUUCCCCCAGCAAAAUUUACAAUUGGAUAACCGUUGUAAUUCAAGGGCUAAUCAUGCAUAAAGAUGGUUUCGUAAGAGAUCAUUGCAUUUGUCAGUCAAUAAACCAACAUCUUUUAGAUGAAUCAUGACAAAUUGCGGAUCCUCAUGUUGCAAAAGACGGAGGACGACUGGGUCAGGUCUUUCCCCUAUCAGUUUUCGUAGGAAAUGUAUUGAAUUUUCUAGACUUUGACGGGUAACGGAAAAUGAGGGUUUGAUUCCGGAGAAGGAGCCUGAGAGACGGCUACUACAUCUAAGGAAGGCAGCAGGCGCGCAAAUUGUCCAUUUAUCAUUUGAUAGAGACAGUGACGAUCAAUAACAAUGUGCGACUCUUUAUGGGUUGUGCAAUUGGAAUGACUACAAUUUAAAGAGUUUAAGGAGGAUCAAUUGGAGGGCAAGUCUGGUGCCAGCAGCCGCGGUAAUUCCAGCUCCAAUAGGAUAUAUCAAAGUUGUUGCAGUUAAAAAGCUCGUAGUUGAAUUUCUGGUGGGGUUUUUCGUGUUUGAUGUAAUUGGGGGCAACUCUAAUUACAUUAAGCCACCCGCCAUAUUGUGGACACAUACAAGUAUGAAUGGUUUACUCCAUUUAUAUUUGUACCACUCAGUCACUGAGAGCAAAUUGGAGUGCUCAAAGCAGGCUUGAUAGCUUUGAACAUUUUAGCUUGGAAUGACAAGAUAUGACUUUUGUUGUAUUUUGUUGGUUAUACAAGAAAAGUAAUGAUUAACAGGAACAGUUGCGGGGGUACUCGUAUUGAAAGGUCAGAGGUGAAAUUCUUGGAUUCUUUCAAGACGAACGACUGCGAAAGCAUUUACCAAGGAUGUUUUCAUUAAUCAAGAACGAAAGCUCGGGGAUCGAAGAUGAUUAGAUACCAUCGUAGUCCGACGCCAUAAACGAUGCCGACUCGGGAUUGUCUUGUUUAUUCUAAUUAAAAAACGAAUCAAGGCAGCACCGUAUGAGAAAUCAAAGUCUUUGGGUUCCGGGGGGAGUAUGGUCGCAAGGCUGAAACUUAAAGGAAUUGACGGAAGGGCACACCAGAGGUGGAGCCUGCGGUUUAAUUUGACUCAACACGGGGAAACUUACCAGGUCCAGACAUGAUGAGGAUUGACAGUUUGAAAGCACUUUCUUGAUUUCAUGGGUGGUGGUGCAUGGCCGUUCUUAGUUGGUGGAGUGAUUUGUCUGGUUGAUUCCGAUAACGAACGAGACGGGGAGAGUUAACUAGGUGAUUGGAUAACUCACGUUAUUCACACCUUCUUUGCUCGACAACUUGGUUUUACCAAGGGGAAGCGCCCCGCAAUAACAGGUCUGUGAUGCCCUUAGAUGUUCUGGGCUACACGCGCGCUACAAUGACGAAUUCAACGAGUUUUUUUUGUCCUUGCCCGGAAGGGUGUGGGUAAUCUUUUCAAUGUUCGUCGUGAUGGGGCUAGAUUAUUGCAAUUAUUAAUCUUCAACGAGGAAUCUCUAGUAUGUGCAAGUCAUCAGCUUGCGCAGAAUGCGUCCCUGCCCUUUGUACACACCGCCCGUCGCACCUACCGAUUGGACGAUCCGGCAAGAAGUUUGGAGUUGUGUUGUUUGCAGUAAUGUGAGCAAUGUGGCAAAGCUCUUCAAACCUUAUCGUCUAGAGGAAGGUGAAGUCGUAACAAGGUCUCCGUAGGUGAACCUGCG
rnacentral:rRNA from 1 species